AUAAAAUUGCCUAUGCGGUUCUUGAUACUGAAUAAUAAUUUUUCUCUAAAUUUUAAUAUUUCUAGCUUUAAUAUUUCUAUGAACUGCAUACUGAUAUUUUUGUCAACCUUGAAACAUAGUUACUAGUAGACAUCAAUGCUCAAAAGUAUCUAUAAGAUUCCUUUCCCGAAAAAUUAAAUAAUUUAUGGCGAAAAAAUACUUCAGCCAGAAUUCGUAUCUGGAUCUCCUUAUUUCGUGCGAGCAUUUUUCCAUUUGAAUAUUUAACUUAUUUGUAUAUAUUGUGAAUAAUUUAAAUUGAAAUAAUUACAUUAUGAUUUACAAGAAAUAACUUAUUCCCGUUCCGUACUAUGCGCAUGUAAAUAAUUCUGUGAAAUCUGUAUACCGGAUCUGCAUUUAGCGUAGCUUUCAGUCGCGCAAGCGUUUUAACACAUUUCGAAAGCGCAUACGCGAACUUUAUCGUAUACGCGGUCGUCAUGACGGCACCGCGACGCCGACAAACGCGGGAACAUCAGACGUCGCGAUGCGUCUGUGACGUGUUAGUCGGUGUCGCGGCGUCGUUCGAGGAUCGACCAUGCCUCGAUCUGUGCCCUCGCCGCGUUAAUCGUAGGACCAUUUCUUUUUUCGUCGAGACGCAAUGUGCUGAUACAAAAUGAAUUAUAAACGUUCACAAAAACUAGUCGUUUCUCGCGCGAUGGGGAUCGAUACCAAAAGCGUGGAAUGAUUGAGAGAUACGAUCACAGCGUGAACAGAAAAGCCAGUUGAACGAUUCUUUCUCACGUGCAACGGUUUGCAUAGCGUGAUAGGAGUAUGUCUUAUCGAAGAUUGGAAUAAGUUUUCAACUUCUUUAUGCUGAUAAUUUUUUGAAAGGUUUUAACAAUCUACACAUAUCAAUUUUACGCCAGAAAUACUGUAACGUGUCCGUCAACAGUGUACCAAUGUUUGCCUACUUUCCGGAGCUUUACACAUAAUAAAAUUUUCUCACGAACACGAUGUAUUUGGACAGAAUAUAUGUAGAAAAGUUCUUUAGUUAAAA